rnacentral:lncRNA from 1 species
CUGGCCUUGAACUCAGAAAUCCACCUGCCUCUGCCUCCCAAGUGCUGGGAUUAAAGGUGUGCACCACCAUGCCCAGCUCUCCUCUCAUUUUCUAUGGUACCUUCACACUUUUCUUUAUCCCUUUCCCUUUUCUGUGUACCUUAUAUAUACUCUAAUUUCUCCAUCUCUCCUCCUCCUCUCCCUCCUCUUCCUUCAGAUUCUUUAAGAGAGGGCUUCUCUGUGUAGCCCUGGCUAUCCUCAAACUUACUCUGUAAAUGAAGUUGGUCCGGAACUGAGUCCAGCCUGCCUCUGCCUCCUGAGUGCUAGGAUUAAAGGCAGAUGCCAUGUAUGCUGCUCAUUCUCCAUCAUAACUGAUAUUCCUGUUUCCUGGUCCCAUCUGCCCUGUCCUGCCCCCUACCUUUCCUCCUCACCCAUUUUCAGUCUUUCCCCCUCUCUCUGGACUCUUCUCCCUCGCCUGCUAGCCCAGUCCUAGUCUCAGAGGAUAUGGGGCAGGAUACCCAGGGCUUGAUGUCCUCCUGGAUCCCUCCCCACAACCAGACCUCUGUCUGUCUCUGGGUCCUAGCCUGGGGACAUAAGGAAUGUGAUCAAGAGUGCUCAGUCCACUUUGCUCCUCUACCUGCCCAGUCUCCUCCUCUACCUGCCCUGUCUCCUUGCUCGUUUCUCUAUCCCCACCUCCUUCUCCCUAGGCUGCCUAGCCCCCCUUUCUGGGCUCUCUGUCCUGUUCUUUUCUGUGCUUGCCCUCAUGGCCUCACUGUUCUUUCUGGAAUCUUCUUUUGUUCUGUUCUCCAUCACUAUUCCCUUUCUUCCUCCAUUUUCUUUACAACCCAGGCUCUCCCACCAGUGCUGUAACACCACCUCCUCCCCUUUCCUCACUGAAACUUAGAAGCUGUCUCCACCUCCCUUAGCAUCUCUGCUGUUUAUCUCCCUUGACCAUUCAGGCCUUUCUUGUCUCCGAUAUCCAGUCUCUCCUCCCCUCUUAUCUAUUCUGACCCAAGGUGCUGAUCUCUCUCUCUCUCUCUCUCACACACACACACACACACACACACACACACACACACCCAACUUCUGACUAAUUCCCUUUCUGGUUGUCCCUCACUCUGCUCUCUCUGUCCCUCACACUCCUGUGGAACUCCUUCUGGUCUUCCUGUCUCUUUCUUGCACUGACUCCCUAUCCUCUCCUGGUGUGUGUGUGUGUGUGUAUGUGCAUAUGUGCACACACAGUAUAGGACAGAGGUCAACCUUAGGUGUUACUCAUGCUUAUUUUGUAUGUUCAUGUAUGCAUAUGGUGUGCUCACCUGUAAAACAUGUGUGAAGGUAGGACAUCAACAUCUCGUGUCCUCUCUAUUGUUUUGCGCCUUAGUUUUUGAACUUGACACCUUCCGAUUUGGUGAGUCUGGCCAGCCAGGAAGCCUGGGAAUCCCCAGCACCAGGAUCACUUACAGGCACUGCCACUGUGCAGGCUGUAGUGUGGGUACAGGCACUGCCACUGUGCAGGCUGUAGUGUGGGUACAGGCAGUGUCACUGUGAGGGCUGUAGUGUGGGUACAGGCACUGUCACUGUGCAGGCUGUAGUGUGGGUACAGGCACCUGCCACUGUGUGGGCUGUAGUGUGGGUACAGGCACUGUCACUGUGCAGGCUGUAGUGUGGGUACAGGCACUGUCACUGUGCAGGCUGUAGUGUGGGUACAGGCACUGUCACUGUGCAGGCUGUAGUGUGGGUACAGGCACCUGCCACUGUGUGGGCUGUAGUGUGGGUACAGGCAGUGUCACUGUGUGGGCUGCAGUGUGGGUACAGGCACCUGCUACUGUGUGGGCUGUAGUGUGGGUACAGGCA